UUCUUCCACUUUUUUAUGGUGAUUAUUCAUGUCGCUGCGGAUGUGGCAUUAAUUUUGUCUAAGCCGCGGUAAACUCGUCUGACGUCGCUCUCAGUGUCUUUUUGACUUUUCGCCAGCGCUGCUAUGCUUCCAGAAAGGCUUUCAUGGAAUUUGUUUUCCGCUUGCAUUAAUGCCUUCACGGAAUCCUAGAAAUAUACAAAAGUGAGGGAUUAUUUCUGUGCCUCUUUGGGGUCGGAGACAGAUUGGUUUCCUCCUCACGGGCUCUUGCGGAUGUGGUAGGCAAAUCAUCAUCGCUUAAAUCGGGCGCGGAUACUGCCUCCUCCCCAGUUCCAAAAGAAGCGGACAUUGAUAUGCCUUCUACAACAGCGUACAGUCCGGAAAUUAUUGCUACCGUUCCUCCGCCUCCGACAAUGUGUACUUUUUAAAUGGGCCGCCUCCGGUAGCCACGGCCUCUCUUCUGUUGUGUGCCAAUUUCUUCCUCACUUCACUUUUCCAGUCAGUCCAGCUGAUCGGAACAUUUCCGAUAAAAAAUUUCCGAUAACCGGAAUGCAGAACAUCAAAUUUCCGAUAGAAUUCCGACUCGAAGUGGAUCGAAAUGUAGAACAAGGCGGAAUCGGAAAUAAUUUCGGAUUGUCGGAAUGCAGAACACCAAAAACACCGGAAACAAAUCCGAUUCCGAUUCGAAUCGGAUUGCAGAACAGGGCUGAAAAUGUGCAGCAUAGCCUCCCAUUUGGUAGCAGAAGAGAUGGACGAAGAUGUAGAGCAGAAUCGGACACAAAGGAUGGAAAGGAGGCAGUUACGCGAUGCAACAAACCCGCUUGAGUUGCCCCAAGCUUUAAGGCUAUCAGACGGGAAUCGGAAAAGAAUACGACGUUUCUCUUGCUCAAUGCAGCCUCAGCAAAGUGGUUGGCGAAAACGGCGGAAGAAAAACGCAAAAUUUCAUUGGCACUUUACCGUAAGCGUGGCAUUCCAAGUGUUAUGGGAUGCAUAGAUGGGACACAUGUCCGCAUUAAAGCUCCCUCCCAGAAUAAACAGUUAUAGCAGAAAGGAAAACUACAGCUUAAAUGUCAUGCUGGUGUGUGAUCAUGAUCUACGUAUUCAAUAUGUAGAUGCGUCCCACCCCGGUGCUUGUCACGAUUCCUUCGUUUGGAACACCAGCGAGCUACGAACUCACCUUGAACGAGAAUAUCUAAAAGGAAGGAUCUGUUGAAAUGAAAUUCAACGAAGUUCACUCAAAAUGCAGAAAUUUUAUAGAACGUACCAAUGGGGUGCUAAAAAAUCGAUGGAGAUGCCUUCUUGGAGCAAGAGAAUCAUUAAUGUGUGUUGUGCAUUACAUAAUAUAUGCCUUUUUUCAAAGUGAAUAGACCAGUCACACAGUUCAACUGCCCAAGAAAAGCGUAUUCACUAUAUUAAAAGUUCAGAAUUUUUCGAAGCUCGGCAAACGUGAUGGAAAUGUUCACCUCUAUAGCUUUCUUAAGUCAAAAUUUAAGCUGCACGCUCUUACCAAAGCUACUGAAAGAGAUAUGAAGAAACAAUGCUAUAUAACUCGCCGAAAAUUGCUAUUUUUUUUUAAGAUUUUUCUUAUUUACAUGUGUAUAAAUAACUUUAAAAUAUACUACUAACUAAACUAUACUCUUGUGGGAGAUGAGUAACGAGCAAUCCUGCAUUUUAUAUCCUGCUAUUUCAAAGUCUUUGGAAGAACUUCGAAUUUGGACACUUAUGUUAUGUACUUAGCUUCGCCGAGUCAUAUUUUUCAUAAAUAAUAUACUAUAGCUGCCGCCAGAUCAUGUUGCUAUAAGGCCAGAUUUGUUGCUAUAAAUCAAGGGGUAUCAGUCAUUAUGGAUACGAUGACAACUGAUCGAUUUCCAACAAAAUGGCUAUAAAACAAAUGAAAAAAAAGUUCUUAUAAAUACAUUUUUUACGCAGUAGGCGUAAACAAGGGUGUACCACACUAUGUUUCUCCCAUUUGCGCGAGUUCGAAGCUUCCAUAUUCGUUUGCAUAAAUAAAUUGUUCCCAUGGUUAUGGAAAAUACAGCAUUCUGAAUUUCAGCAACCAAAAGUUUUGCAAAAUUCGCAAUAAAUCGCACACAGGAAUCAACCUGAAAAAAACGAUAGCAUAUCGAAAAUCAGCAUCUUAAAUAUACCCCAAAACGAUCCGUAAAUAAUUUUGACCACCUAGCUUGUUCUACACGACACACUGUGCGUCGACUCUUUUUGGUAUUCGAGACAUGUGAAUAACUCAUAGGCGAUCAUCCUUCUACAAAAAAAUAGUUGAAGAAGGAUGAGCGACAGUCGCUUAUUGAAUGAGACGACGACGUUGACAAUACCAUGGAAAAGCGAUAAUCGAAUAAUAGUCGUUUAUCUACUGCCAGUCGACACUCGCAAUAAGGGUUAUUUACUCGGUACUUGUCAAAAACUUUGUUAGUGAAGUUAUGUCUCAUAUUCGUGGAAAUUAAGUCUGAAAUAACAUCCACGAGCCCAUGCAAGUUAUGUCAGUUAACCGCAUUGGCCUCUCGACGAUCACGUGCGAGUUUUCCGAUCCCCAAUUGCGGCAGUUUAAAUUAUUGUGAAAUAAGUUUGCAUUAUUUCCGUUGUUUAACGUUGUUCAAACGAAAGAGCUGUCACCGUCAAAAUAACAUGAUUAAAAAUAAUUAUAUGUAUAAAGCAAAAUUAAAUAAAUAUUUAUUUAUAUUAUUUAGUAAGUUUAUUUAAUGGAUUUCUUUGAUUUAAUUAACCUUAAAAUGUGAGAAGCGUAUUCAUGAUUCACUUAAGUGCUAUAUUUUAAUAUUUGUAAACGUAUUGUAAAUUAAUUUAUAAAACAGCUCUAAAUAAAUCAAUUAUAUAUUAUGUACUUUAGUUUCUAAAUUUGCGUAUGUUUCAAAGAAAACUUAGUAAAACAUCAAGUCCAUUAGUUUAACAAAACUGGUUUCAACAAUGAUCUGACUAUAAUAAUAAAUGCUUAAAGUACACUCAAUCAAGUAAUCCGCAAAGUUUUUUAAUCAGACGGGUUCUGCAAUUCACUUCCGAAUGAAUUUCAACCGUUGCCAAUUUGAAUUCAAAGCGCAUUUUGUUGAAAUUUACUCGGAAGUGAAUUGCGGAACCUGCCUGAAUAAGAUUUUUCGCGCUUAGAUUAAAAAGAUCUUUAAUCUAUAUAUUUACAACUUUUAUAGCAAACUAGUUCAUUUUUCUUUGUAUUUAUUUCCUUUCUAUAUACAUAUAUGUAUUCACAGACUUCAUGCAAAGAUUUUAAUGGAAAUAUGUUGGUUGUAUUUCCUAUAAAUUCUUAAAAGAUGGCUACAUGUUCGCAAAGCGAUCAACAGAUUUUUCCGGGGCAAUGAAUAUCAUUGUAUAGGCUUACAAGUAUGGAAAGCGCCAUUUUGUUUGUUUACAUUUGAAAACAGCUGAGAUCACCUGAUUUUCAA